rnacentral:rRNA from 1 species
UCGAACGCGUCUUGGUUAUUGAUGUUAAGUGCUUGCAUUUAACUGAUUUAACAUUGAGACGAGUGGCGAACUGGUGAGUAACACGUGGGUAACCUGCCCUUGAAGUAGGGGAUAACACUUGGAAACAGGUGCUAAUACCGUAUAACAACCAAAACCACCUGGUUUUGGUUUAAAAGAUGGCUUCGGCUAUCACUUUAGGAUGGACCCGCGGCGUAUUAGCUUGUUGGUAAGGUAACGGCCUACCAAGGCAAUGAUACGUAGCCGACCUGAGAGGGUAAUCGGCCACAUUGGGACUGAGACACGGCCCAAACUCCUACGGGAGGCAGCAGUAGGGAAUCUUCCACAAUGGACGAAAGUCUGAUGGAGCAACGCCGCGUGAGUGAUGAAGGGUUUCGGCUCGUAAAACUCUGUUGUUGGAGAAGAACAGGUGUGAGAGUAACUGUUCACAUCUUGACGGUAUCCAACCAGAAAGCCACGGCUAACUACGUGCCAGCAGCCGCGGUAAUACGUAGGUGGCAAGCGUUGUCCGGAUUUAUUGGGCGUAAAGCGAGCGCAGGCGGUUUCUUAGGUCUGAUGUGAAAGCCUUCGGCUUAACCGGAGAAGUGCAUCGGAAACCAGGAGACUUGAGUGCAGAAGAGGACAGUGGAACUCCAUGUGUAGCGGUGAAAUGCGUAGAUAUAUGGAAGAACACCAGUGGCGAAGGCGGCUGUCUGGUCUGUAACUGACGCUGAGGCUCGAAAGCAUGGGUAGCGAACAGGAUUAGAUACCCUGGUAGUCCAUGCCAUAAACGAUGAGUGCUAAGUGUUGGAGGGUUUCCGCCCUUCAGUGCUGCAGCUAACGCAUUAAGCACUCCGCCUGGGGAGUACGACUGCAAGGUUGAA